UACAGAGGUCUCAAGCGUUGUUCGGAUUCAUUGUGCGUAAAGGGUGCGUAGGUGGCGUGGUAAGUCGGGUGUGAAAUUUCGGAGCUUAACUCCGAAACUGCAUUCGAUACUGCCGUGCUUGAGGACUGGAGAGGAGACUGGAAUUCAUGGUGUAGCAGUGAAAUGCGUAGAGAUCAUGAGGAAGACCAGUGGCGAAGGCGGGUCUCUGGACAGUUCCUGACACUGAGGCACGAAGGCCAGGGGAGCAAACGGG
rnacentral:rRNA from 1 species